rnacentral:sRNA from 1 species
UCGCAAAACGGAGCCCCUGAAGCCCAGUUUGAUCAAUGACAUACUCGAUCACUAGGAAGCUCAUUUCAGCCCGUUAGAUGCCAAUGACACAUUCUGUCGCAGGAUCAUGACGUGAAGAUUCGCUAUAUAUUUAGUUUCCUUAUUUGUUUCAUUUCUCGCUUAUAUAAACUGCCUCUUAGGGUUUUCCCUAGGGCAUCCGUUAUUAUCUCGCUUUUACAUUUUCGCAACUUUCAUAGCCGCAAUGUUUCUCCUGCGACUUUGUAAAUACCGCUUUUGUUUUUGUUUCUGUGUUUAUCUUGAAUUUUUUCACAAAUUUUGAUUACACAAGAGACUGUGUAAUUUAAGUUUGGGAGAGGGUUCAAGACGUAUUUGACUUGUUUUUUGUGAAUAUCAUUUGAGUCUGCAUAUCAUCUAAGUCAUAGAAAAAAACAAAAAAAAUGUUUUUUUUUGAAAAUGAAAUCCACAAAAACAGAGUGAUCAUUUAGUUGCAUUACAUUUAGAAUCGAGUCUAGAGUGUUUCAUAUAUGAUUGUUGCAUAUGCAUAGGGGAUAAUGAGGAAAUAGCCUUGUAAGCAUGAUGAUUCACUAAAAUGAGUUAUUAGUUCUUUGAGGCAUUUGAAUGACUUUGAAGUAAAACCGCACCAUGUUCUAUAGAAACCACUCGAUGCAUGUCAUGACACCUUUUCCUGUCAAUUUGAAAUUGAAUCUGACUUAUAAUUAUCAUGUUUGCAUCGUUUUUGAACUCGUGGAUAGAAUACAUAUUUGGAUUUUCUUUCACUUAUUCACCACUCUUGCUAAUCCAAGUAGCUGCUUCUAUUAUUGGAGUAGUUCCCCCACCCUUAACCAAUCCUUCUUUCAAGCCAUGUUAUUUUGUGAGAGCAUGUGAGGCCUAUUUUCAUGAUUGAGCUUGGUAGAACGUGUUAGGUUUGAGCCGACAAGAGUAGUAUCUCAUGUAGUUCCAAUCCGCGUUUUCGGACUUGGUAGGACUAGGUGGGAACUUAUUUGGGGAUUGAGAUUGAGUGAGAAAAGAAAAAGAAAGAAAAAUAAA